CCUGUGACAUACCUAAAACGUUGCUUCGGCGGGAACAGACGGCCCUGUAACAACGGGCCGCCCCCGCCAGAGGACCCCUAACUCUGUUUUUAUAAUGUUUUUCUGAGUAAACAAGCAAAUAAAUUAAAACUUUCAACAACGGAUCUCUUGGCUCUGGCAUCGAUGAAGAACGCAGCGAAAUGCGAUAAGUAAUGUGAAUUGCAGAAUUCAGUGAAUCAUCGAAUCUUUGAACGCACAUUGCGCCCGCCAGUAUUCUGGCGGGCAUGCCUGUUCGAGCGUCAUUACAACCCUCAGGCCCCCGGGCCUGGCGUUGGGGAUCGGCGGAAGCCCCCUGUGGGCACACGCCGUCCCUCAAAUACAGUGGCGGUCCCGCCGCAGCUUCCAUUGCGUAGUAGCUAACACCUCGCAACUGGAGAGCGGCGCGGCCAUGCCGUAAAACACCCAACUUCUGAAUGUUGACCUCGAAUCAGGUAGGAAUACCCGCUGAACUUAAGCAUAUCAAUAAGCGGAGGA
rnacentral:rRNA from 1 species